GAUUCCGUCACUCUGGUAGCCGAGCGUGUUUUGCAGUGCUGUAGACGACGGAAGAUCAGUAAUACAGCAUCAUGUUUCAGACUAUACCUGUAUCGCAAGCGUCUCGACGGGUGGAGCGAGGGGGAAUUAAAGGAACUAUUUUAAGUAUCUACUAUGAUCCCUUUAAAUGGUCCCUGGUGAAGAGUAUUCUGUUCUUUGCUGUUGGUGUCAAAACUGCAAAUGAUUUUGUUGGAUUUGAUGUUCUUAAUCCAAAUCCACAGUAAAGGUGUGUCCGUAUAAGAAUUUUCCUGAGAAGAUGGUUUAAUAGAAGAAAGAUUGUUUCUUAUACACAUGUAUAGUAUAUUACAAUGCCUAUUUUGUAAUUGUUUGUGUAAACACUGUAAAAACUAUAUGAAUUUUUAUUUCUGUUUUUGAGAAAUAACAAAAGGUUAAAAAAAAGA
rnacentral:lncRNA from 1 species